AAUUGUUUACUGUAAUAUGCUCAUGCAGGAGACCUUGUAAGAUUGGAUACAAGUAUCUGGAAGAUGGAAUGAAGGUAAGAGUCUCGAGAGGGCAACAAGCAUCUGGAGCAUAAUUCCUCGUCCAGAGAUCUUAAAACAAAGGAGAAAACCAAGACCUACUGAACCUGGUCCCAAGGAUACACCAAUUGACCUCGUAUUGGAGAAAACAUAUGAUGCGAAAGCUGGAAUCGGCAUGCCUGACCUUUGAACAAAGAUCUAUACAAAGUUUUGUUACAGGUUGGCAGAAUUUUGCUGUCAGAACAUAUUUCAUCUACAAUCGUGUCAGCUAACUUGGAGUUUCUAAAUUCUUGUUCAACUCUAGGUAUCAUAUGACCCGUUUAACUUAUGUUUUAUAACUGCAAACUGGUAUUCACUUUGCCGAUCCUAUUGCAUGUUUUACUGGAAUAUAUUAGCUUUUAGUUACGAUUUGUGGGUUUACCCCCCUCACCAAACAAAUCAAAUAGGUGUCGGCCAAUAAAGUGGAAGAAGGCAAGUUGGAUUUGUCACUAGUUACAAAAUGUUCAUGUUUCAGUUCUUACCAUCAAGUAGGAACUCCUUUUAAUAUGCAACAGAUAAUUUACUUGA